rnacentral:rRNA from 1 species
CUCCGGUUGAUCCUGCCGGACCCGACUGCUAUCAGAGUGGGACUAAGCCAUGCGAGUCAACGUAGCAAUACGUGGCAUACGGCUCAGUAACACGUAGUCAACAUGCCCAGGGGACGAGGAUAACCUCGGGAAACUGAGGAUAAACCUCGAUAGGCCAUGAUUUCUGGAAUGAUUCUUGGCUCAAACCUAUAUGGCCCCUGGAUUGGACUGCGGCCGAUCAGGCUGUUGGUGAGGUAAUGGCCCACCAAACCUAUUACCGGUACGGGCUCUGAGAGGAGGAGCCCGGAGAUGGGCACUGAGACAAGGGCCCAGGCCCUAUGGGGCGCAGCAGGCGCGAAACCUCUGCAAUAGGCGAAAGCUUGACAGGGUUACUCUGAGUGAUUUCCGCUAAGGGAAUCUUUUGGCACCUCUAAAAAUGGUGCAGAAUAAGGGGUGGGCAAGUCUGGUGUCAGCCGCCGCGGUAAUACCAGCACCCCGAGUGGUCGGGACGAUUAUUGGGCCUAAAGCAUCCGUAGCCGGUCCUGCAAGUCUUCCGUUAAAUCCAGCUGCUCAACAGAUGGGCUGCGGGAGAUACUACAGGGCUAGGAGGCGGGAGAGGCAAGCGGUACUUUAUGGGUAGGGGUAAAAUCCGCUGAUCCAUAGAAGACCACCAGUGGCGAAGGCGGCUUGCCAGAACGCGCUCGACGGUGAGGGAUGAAAGCUGGGGGAGCAAACCGGAUUAGAUACCCGAGUAGUCCCAGCUGUAAACGAUGCAGACUCGGUGAUGGGUUGGCCUCGCGCCUGCCCAGUGCCGCAGGGAAGCCGUUAAGUCUGCCGCCUGGGGAGUACGGUCGCAAGACUGAAACUUAAAGGAAUUGGCGGGGGAGCA